rnacentral:rRNA from 1 species
GUCGAGCGGGCACUUUCGGGUGUCAGCGGCGGACGGGUGAGUAACGCGUGGGAACGUGCCUUCUGGUUCGGAAUAACUCAGGGAAACUUGAUCUAAUACCGGAUACGCCCUUUUGGGGAAAGGUUUACUGCCGGAAGAUCGGCCCGCGUCUGAUUAUCUAUUUGGUGGGGUAACGGCCUACCAAGGCGACGAUCAAUAUCUGGUCUGAGAGGAUGAUCACCCACACUGGGACUGAGACACGGCCCACACUCCUACGGGAGGCAGCAGUGGGGAAUAUUGGACAAUGGGCGCAAGCCUGAUCCACCCAUGCCGCGUGAGUGAUGAAGGCCUUAGGGUUGUAAAGCUCUUUUAUCCGGGACGAUAAUGACGGUACCGGAAGAAUAACCCCCGGCUAACUUCGUGCCAGCAGCCGCGGUAAUACAAAGGGGGCUAGCGUUGCUCGGAAUCACUGGGCGUAAAGGGCGCGUACGCGGUCUUUUAACUCGGGGGUGAAAGCCUGUGGCUCAACCACAAAAUUGCCUUCUAUACUGGGAGACUUGAUUUCAGAAGAGGUUGGUGGAACUGCGAGUGUAGAGGUGAAAUUCAUAUAUAUUCGCAAGAACACCGGUGGCGAAGGCGGCCAACUGGUCCGACACUGACUCUGAGGCGCGAAAGCGUGGAGAGCAAACAAGAUUAUAUACUCUGGUAGUCCACGCCGUAAACGAUGAGUGCCACCCGUUGGGGGGCGUGCCUCUCAGUGGCGCAGCUAACGCUUUGAGCAUUCCGCCUGGAGAGUACUGUCGCAAGAUUAAACUCAAAGGAAUUGACGGGGCGCCCGCAC